GGGCGUAAGGGCUCGCAGGCGGUUUCUUAAGUCUGAUGUGAAAGCCCCCGGCUCAACCGGGGAGGGUCAUUGGAAACUGGGGAACUUGAGUGCAGAAGAGGAGAGUGGAAUUCCACGUGUAGCGGUGAAAUGCGUAGAGAUGUGGAGGAACACCAGUGGCGAAGGCGACUCUCUGGUCUGUAACUGACGCUGAGGAGCGAAAGCGUGGGGAGCGAACAGGAUUAGAUACCCUGGUAGUCCACGCCGUAAACGAUGAGUGCUAAGUGUUAGGGGGUUUCCGCCCCUUAGUGCUGCAGCUAACGCAUUAAGCACUCCGCCUGGGGAGUACGGUCGCAAGACUGAAACUCAAAGGAAUUGACGGGGGCCCGCACAAGCGGUGGAGCAUGUGGUUUAAUUCGAAGCAACGCGAAGAACCUUACCAGGUCUUGACAUCCUCUGACAAUCCUAGAGAUAGGACGUCCCCUUCGGGGGCAGAGUGACAGGUGGUGCAUGGUUGUCGUCAGCUCGUGUCGUGAGAUGUUGGGUUAAGUCCCGCAACGAGCGCAACCCUUGAUCUUAGUUGCCAGCAUUCAAUUGGGCACUCUAAGGUGACUGCCGGUGACAAACCGGAGGAAGGUGGGGAUGACGUUCUAUCAUCAUGCCCCUUAUGACCUGGGCUACACACUUGCUACAAUGGA
rnacentral:rRNA from 1 species